rnacentral:misc_RNA from 1 species
AUAUAAAACACCACCUUAUGAAUUCGUCAAAUAAUUUAUUUCAUCUAAUCAUGCCUUAUAGUGAUGGAUCUCGGCCUGUAAUUAUUUAAUUUCAUCACAGAUAGAUACAUUGUUGAUUUCUUAUUCUUGUUUUUGAAUUAUAGUCACAUAAAAUCUUACUAAAAACACAAUUCAAAUCUCUUAUCAUCCUUAACUAGUUGUUUUUCCCAAAAUGGAUGCCAAAAUCGGAAUUAAUGUCAAAUUCAGCAGGAAGGGGUCCUGCCAAAUUUUUUCUGAUGAGGCAAUGAGGUGGCGGAUGACCAAGUGCUGAGCUGGCAAUGUUGUGGUGCUAAUGUCAGAGAAAACGAGUGUGGGGUCAAGUGGGGCGCAUGGCAAAAGUAUGCUUUUAUGAGGUCUUGCAAAGUUUGGGCGGAUCUUGACCUAUCCCUGCCAGGUUUUUUUUAUUAGGGUGUCAGAAAGCAGUUCCAGUGAUAGGGAGAUGCUUAUCGGUGGCCAUCAAAAUGCUGGGAAAUGCCAGAUGUUGGAAAAUGUCCAGAUCUGGUAGGGUUGCAAUUCAAGUUAGGAUCCAAUCAGGCAAAACUUGGCUUUCUGGGCCAGCUCAGGUGACUGGACUAGUACCAAUAAGGUUGAUUGGACACAGGCGGCCGUUCAAUGAUGGCAGCACGGCUGUUUGUUGAAGGAGAAGUGGUGGAUGUUAAUGACGGUAAUGAGGUUUUGUGUUUUUGUGUUCUACGGAUGGAGCUUGAUAUCCGGAGGUUUUUACAGAACCCUGAUCAACAACAAUUUGAAUUCCAGCACUUCCCUACUUCUUAUCUUAGGCUUGCAGCACACCGCGUUGCUCAACACUAUGGUCUGAUAACCACGGUACAGGAUAAUGGCAUGGAUGGCCUGGCAAAUAAGAUUCUGGUAAAGAAAACAGGACAAAGCAGAUAUCCUGCAGUGUGCUUAUCUGAAAUUCCUGCAAAACAGUUGGAAAGUGAUAAACCUGAGCUGCUUAAGAUUGCCAUUAGGCCACGGCCUAAUAAAGGGUCUGCAAAUGAAUCUAAUGAGUUUGGGAUCAAACGUAGUCCUGUGAGAAGUGUGGAAGAGAGAAAGGAGGAGUAUGAUAGGGCAAGAGCUCGCAUCUUCAGUAGCGCUAGCACUCCCAACUCGGAUGAUACAGUAUCUCAGGGUUAUAUAGACAUAAAAAGCACAAGUUCAAGCAAGGAUGAGCAGGAAGGUUGCAGGAAUGCUGUAAGUGAUCCUGAAAAAUAUAUUUGCACCAGGGAUGGUGCACCGUCUCGAGUUGCCAUUUUCAGAGAUAGGGAGAAGGAUCGUACUGACCCAGAUUAUGAUCGGAGUUAUGACCGGUAUGUAAGGAGCCUUCCAACUAAUCAUAACUUUAACUUAGCACCAUUCAAUAUGCAGAAGAUUCAACUCCCAUUCGUUCAGUAUGAUACUGGUUUCCCUCAGUUGGGACAUAUGCCAAGGACUCAAACUUCUCUUAGCUACAGGCCUGCUACAACUCCAGCUAUGAGCCCCUUCUGUUCACUGGGAUCAAAUCAAACAUCAAGAGAUGCUGCAUAUGUGCAAUGGCCAAGUACUGCAAUGAUGUAUGCUCAUUCAUACGAGCAAUUUAGACAUGCUGUUUUCCAGGCUCCCUUCUUUCAGCAACCUCUAAGCUUCGAUUACUCUCAAAACCAUUAAGGGUCUGCCAGAUUGGAAUUGUAUUACUGAUUUACCUGCAAAUUUCUCUAUACUUCUAGGGAAUUCUGUGUUAGGAUUAUUCCAGACUCUUGUGUUGCAAACCAUUUGUUUCAGUUAUAGUUAUGGUUUCUGCUUGCUUCUCUUUGUGGAUCUUUUAUUAGUUUAUUAGUCAGUGUACACUACUCUCUGUGGAUCUUUUAUUGAUGUGUUAGUGAGUGUAUGUGUAUGCUACUCUCUUGCCUGCCAUUUUUCCUUUCCAGUAUUAUACGAGUAGCUUGUUCUUUUCCAUAUGGGGAGGCUAGUAAUUGGUUGUGCUGUUAAGCACCAUCAACUUCUAAUAUUGUGAUUUGAUUUUGCCCAAGUAAAUACUUAAACAAGCCUCCCUCAGUUGACUAGUGAGCUAGAGUCACAUGGGGGUCAUGUCUUAAAAAUGGGUUAUCAGCAUCUUUG